rnacentral:rRNA from 1 species
AUUUUGCGGGAGGCAGCAGUGGGGAAUCUAGCCCAACGGGCGAAAGCAAGAAGCACCCAGGCUGUAAUAUGAUGAAGUUCUGAGGAAAGUAAAAUACUUUCACCGGUGAAGAUAAUGACGGUACCCGAAGAAAAAGCCCCGGCUAAUUUCGUCCCAGCAGCCGCGGUAAUACGAAGGGGGCAAGCUUUCUUCGGAAAUUACUGGGCGUAAAGGGAGCGCAGGCGGUCAUUUAAGUCAGGGGUGAAAUCCCGGGGCUCACCUCGGGAACUCCCUUUGAUACUGCAUGUCUGGAGUGUGAGAGAGGGGGGUGGAAUUCCGAGUGUAGGGGUGAAAUUCGUAGAUAUUCGGAGGAACACCAUUGGGGAAGGCAACCCCCUGGCUCAUUACUGACGUUGAGGCUCGAAAGCGUGGGGAGCAAACAGGAUUAGAUACCCUGGUAGUCCACGCCGUAAACGAUGUAUGCUAGUUGUCGGGUCGUUUACUUCUCAGUGACGCAGCUAACGCAUAAGUNUCCGCCUG